UUGAAAGGGAAACGAUUGAAGUCAGUCGUACCGACGAGAAAUCAACUUAUCGUGUGCGAACUUGUGGGCGUGCGUGAGUUUCGGCCUCGCUGUUUGCAUGUUUGUGCGUUUUGGGUGUACUUUUUCGUAUGGUAGGCCAACGUCAGUUUCGAUUAUCAUAAAAUGACCGGCGGAAUGUAGCUUCGAUUUCGGUUGAAGUGUUAUAGCCUUUGGUAGAUGUGGUGAUUGAGACUGAGGAUUGCAACGAAUACCCUUUGGGCUUUCCGUCUGGCCUCUGAAAGUUGCUCAGGUGCCGAAAGCGUGCUUACGGUCAUCUAAGAUAACGUUCAACAGGUUAGAACGUGAUUACAUUCGUUAAGGAUGUUGACGUAA
rnacentral:rRNA from 1 species